rnacentral:lncRNA from 1 species
GGUGUUCCUGGUUUGGCAACUCUAAAUCCUGUGUUAAGGCAGCUGAAGAACAUUUUACACAUCGCUCAUCCUAUUAUGAGCUGCUCUUCCGUCUCUCAACAAGG